rnacentral:rRNA from 1 species
CGAAGCGUGCGAUUGGAUUGCACGUCUAAGCAGUAAGGCUGAGUAUUAGGCAAAUCCGGUACUCGUUAAGGCUGAGCUGUGAUGGGGAGAAGACAUUGUGUCUUCGAGUCGUUGAUUUCACACUGCCGAGAAAAGCCUCUAGAUAGAAAAUAGGUGCCCGUACCGCAAACCGACACAGGUAGUCAAGAUGAGAAUUCUAAGGUGAGCGAGCGAACUCUCGUUAAGGAACUCGGCAAAAUGACCCCGUAACUUCGGGAGAAGGGGUGCUCUUUAGGGUUAACGCCCAGAAGAGCCGCAGUGAAUAGGCCCAAGCGACUGUUUAUCAAAAACACAGGUCUCUGCUAAACCGUAAGGUGAUGUAUAGGGGCUGACGCCUGCCCGGUGCUGGAAGGUUAAGAGGAGUGGUUAGCUUCUGCGAAGCUACGAAUCGAAGCCCCAGUAAACGGCGGCCGUAACUAUAACGGUCCUAAGGUAGCGAAAUUCCUUGUCGGGUAAGUUCCGACCCGCACGAAAGGCGUAACGAUUUGGGCACUGUCUCAACGAGAGACUCGGUGAAAUCAUAGUACCUGUGAAGAUGCAGGUUACCCGCGACAGGACGGAAAGACCCCGUGGAGCUUUACUGUAGCCUGAUAUUGAAAUUCGGCACAGCUUGUACAGGAUAGGUAGGAGCCUUUGAAACGUGAGCGCUAGCUUACGUGGAGGCGCUGGUGGG